rnacentral:rRNA from 1 species
CCUACGGGGGGCAGCAGUGGGGAAUAUUGGACAAUGGGGGGAACCCUGAUCCAGCCAUGCCGCGUGUGUGAAGAGGGCCCUCGGGUUGUAAAGCACUUUCAGUGAGGAAGAACGCCUGGUGGUUAAUACCCAUCAGGAAAGACAUCACUCACAGAAGAAGCACCGGCUAACUCCGUGCCAGCAGCCGCGGUAAUACGGAGGGUGCGAGCGUUAAUCGGAAUUACUGGGCGUAAAGCGCGCGUAGGUGGCUUGAUAAGCCGGUUGUGAAAGCCCCGGGCUCAACCUGGGAACGGCAUCCGGAACUGUCAAGCUAGAGUGCAGGAGAGGAAGGUAGAAUUCCCGGUGUAGCGGUGAAAUGCGUAGAGAUCGGGAGGAAUACCAGUGGCGAAGGCGGCCUUCUGGACUGACACUGACACUGAGGUGCGAAAGCGUGGGUAGCAAACAGGAUUAGAUACCCGUGUAGUC